GUCUACGGCCAUACCACCCUGAACGUGCCUGAUCUUGGAAGCUAAGCAGGGUUGGGCCUGGUUAGUAUUUGGGUGAGAGACCGCUUGAGAAUACCAGGUGCUGUGAGCU
rnacentral:rRNA from 1 species